rnacentral:lncRNA from 1 species
UUCUGAAUUAGCCAGACGGACUCCAAGGUUGGAUAGCCGCUGAAUCUCCCGAACCAUCUCCCUCCUUUCUGGUUGUACAUCUGUCAAGCUACCCAUGGACUUACAGCUAAGAGCAUCUACUCAACAUUUGCUUUCCCUGGAUGAUAUAAAAUAUCAACAUCAUAAUCCUUUAGCAACUCUAAACACCGUCUUUGUCGUAAGUUUAGCUCCUUCUGUUUAAAGAUAUAUUGGAGACUCGUAUGAUCUGUAUAGAUGUCCACAUGGACACUAUACAAAUAAUGCCUCCAUAUCUUCAAGGCAUGAACCAUGACUGCUAACUCCAAAUCGUGAGUAGGAUAAUUAUUUCCAUGCUUCCUAAGCUGUCGGGAGGCAUAUGCUAUAACUUUGCCAUGCUGCAUCAAUACACAUCCUAGCUUAACACCCGAAGCAUCACAAUAAAUAACAUAGCCGUCUGGUCCCUCCGGAAGAGUUAGGACUAGAGUUAUAUUCAAUUUGUCUUUCAAUAGCUAGAAGCUUCGCUCACAAGCAUCAGUCCACCGGAACUUGGCUGCCUUUUGAGUUAGCCUUGUCAAAGGCACUGAAAUUGAGGCAAACUUUUCCACGAAUCUCCUAUAGUAUCCUGCUAACUCCAGAAACCUGCGUACCUCAGCAGGUGUCGUAGGUCUGGGUCAAGUCUUUACCGCCUCAAUCUUCUGCAUGUCUACCCGAAUACCAUCAGCUCCAAUAAUAUGCCCCAAGAAUGCCACUGAAGUCAACCAGAACUCGCACUUGGAGAACUUAGCAUACAACUUCUGGUGCGAAAGCACCCUAAGUACCGUCCUUAAAUGGUCUGCAUGCUCCUCUUCUGAACGUGAAUAGACCAGAAUAUCGUCUAUAAAUACAAUAACAAACAUAUCAAGAAAUGGUUUAAACACUCGAUUCAUUAAAUCCAUAAACACCGCUGGAGCAUUAGUUAGCCCAAAAGACACCACUCUAAACUCAUAAUGCCGGUAUCUGGUCCGGAAUGCCGUCUUUGGAAUAUCUGCCUCCCUUACCCGUACCUGAUGAUAACCUGACCGCAAGUCUAUCUUUGAAAAACACUUAGCACCCUGCAACUGGUCAAAUAGAUCGUCAAUCCUUUGGAGGGGAUACAUGUUCUUUACUGUUACUUUGUUCAGCUGCCUAUAAUCAAUACACAUCCGUAGCGACUCAUCCUUCUUCCUCACAAACAGUACCGGUGCUCCCCAAGGUGACGUACUAGGCGUGAUGAAGCCCUUUUCUAGCAAAUCUCUUAAUUGCUCUUUCAACUCAGCAGGUGCCGUUCUAUAAGGAGGUAUAGAUAUAGGUUGGGUAUAUGGCAGUACAUCUAUAUAAACUCUAUCUCUCAUUUUGGAGGAAGGCCUGGAAAUUCCUCUGGGAAUACAUCGGGAAAUUCAUUAACUACCAGGACUGAUUGAAGAGUCGGUGCCUCUGCCUUUAUGUCAUACACCCGAACCAGAUGAUAAAUAUAGCCUUUUCUAACCAUCUUCCUGGCCUUGAGGUAUGAAAUAAACUUACCUUUCAGCGAUACUGUAAUCCUCUUCCACUCUAUAAUCGGUUCCCCUGGAAAUUGAAAUCGAACUAUCUUUCCUCUGCAAUCAACAUUAGCAUAACAAGCAGCCAACCAAUCCAUGCCCAUGAUAAUAUCAAACUCAAUCAUAUUUAACUCUAUUAUAUCUGCUAUGGUACGACGGCUAUCUAUAACCACUGAACAAUUCUUAUAUACUCGCGUAGCUAUGACAGAAUCUCCUACAGGUGUAGCUACCUCAAAUGGUUCUAUCAACUCAGACUCUAUUCCGAUCCUACUAGCAACGAAGGGGGAUAUAAAUGAUAAGGUGGAACCUGGGUCUACCAAUGCAUACACGCUUCGGGAGAAUAGUGAUAAUAUACCUGUGAUCACAUUAGGUGACGCCUCCUGAUCCUGCCUACUAGUCAAAGCAUAUAUGUUGUUCGAGGGACCGCUAGAACUGGAAGCUCCACCACGGCCUACUGGCGCUUGAAUACCCUACCCCGUAGGGCGCAUAUCCACAGAAGAAGAUGAACCAGCAACGGACCCAGUAGGUUGUGCCAUACCACCCUCACUACCUCUAAGGUGACACUCCCUCAUAGUAUGAACCUGACGGCCGCAAGAAAAACAUGCACCUGUAGCCCAAUGACAUUCCCUAGGAUGGGACCUACCACAACGAGAACACCGAGGCAAAGGUGGCCUCGACUGGCUCAAACCCCUGCCCAUCUGUGACCUUGACGCCCUAGAGCUCUUACCAGCUUCCGAAUAUCCCGUACGAUCAAACCCCUUACCCAUGGAACAUAGGGGUGCACUCUGUGCUGGCUGGGAAGAAAAUCUAACAUGUUGCUGAGACUGCCCGCCUCGAAAGUCGUUAGGAUAACCUGCUGAGCCCUCUUAUGCUGGCCUCUAUUAUAAUCUCUAUCUGGCUGACGUCCCCGGUGCCGAUCCUCUAUCCCCUGUGCAUAUGCCUGCACCCGAGCAAUGUCCAUACCUGGCUGAAGAGUCAGUGCCAUACAACCGUCAAUCAGAUAACGAUCCAAUCCCAUCACAUAACGAUGUACCCUGUCUGCCAUAUCAUCCACAAUAGUAGGCGCAUGCCUAGCCCAUGAAUCAACUCGAGGCUUUACUCUCGAACGCUCGUACCAUUCUGCUUCUAACGCAAGAAUCUAUCGACUCUAGUCGCUUCAUCUCUGGAGGCAGGAAGUGGCCCUGGAAAGCCUCCACAAAUCCAUCCCAUACCGCUGGAGGAGCACCCUCACCCCUAGAUAACUCCCAAGACUCCUACCAAUUAAUAGCUACAUCCCGCAAACGAUACGUAGCCAACUCAACAGACUCGGUCUCCGAAGCCUUGAUUAUCCUCAAUGUACGCUGCAUCUGAAGAAUAAACUCUUGCGGAUCAUCCUGGGGCCUUGACCCAAAGAACUUUUGAGGAUUACAACUUAAGAAGUCACGAGCCCUUAAGCUAUCAGAUCUGUCCGCAUGAUCAACUCCUAGUCCAUGCCUGCGAGCCUGACCUGCCACUAAUGUAGUCAGCAACUGAACCGCAACUCUCAUGGCCCUAUCCUCCGCCCCUGGCUGAGGAGCUGGAGGUUCAGGUGCUAGGGCCUCGGGGCUGGUGGUGGGGUCCCCCGAACUGGAGCUGCUGCUGCUCUAAGCUCCUCUUGCAAUGGCGGUGUAGUAGAGCUCUCCGACUGGAGCACAAUACCAGGCAUAGACUGGGCACGGGCCCUAGUAACUCUCAGGGUCUGACUCGUUCCUUCUGCUAUUGAUUUGCCCUUCUGGGCGGCUGUCGCUUUCUUUGGAGGCAUAGCUGAAAACACAGGGGUUCGUUAGAGAGGGAUUAUCCUAUUAAUAUAGCUCUAUCGCACGAUCCAGAAUAAGAAGAAAGGAUGACAUCCUAAAUGUCCUGUAGCUCCCUGUUUAUAGAUGUGGUGCACAACACACCGAUAAAUAUGACUCUACUAGACACGGUCUCUAGACACUUCUGAGAAAGAACCGCUCUGAUACCACUUUUGUCAUGACCCAACCCGAUGGUCCGUGACUAGUGCCCGUUUUGGACACUCACAUACAAAUCUGUUAAGUAUAACCAACUGAAACUAAGACAAUAUAAAAUUUAAUCAAAUCAAGCCAAUCCCAGCGCCAUAUAUAUAUAAAGUGGAUCUGUCUCAUAAGGAGUCAUAACCGUUCAACCGUAACAACAUACGCGAGCCAACAAGGCUGCCACUAUCCAAAGCAUAAUAGCAUACGCAAGCCGGCAAGGCUGCCACUACACAAUACACAAUGAUGUACGCAGCCGACAAGGCUGCCUCUGUACAAGAGAACAUCCCAAACAAACCAUGUCCAUACCAUUAUCCAAAACAAAUAUAUGCAACCCACAUAAUGUCUACAGACCUCUAAGAGUAUAGUAGUGAAACUCGACGGGACAGGGCCCCACCGUACCCAUACACAAUCAAAACACUACACAGAAAGUUAUGUACCAAAACGACUGGGCUCCGAAGCAGUGGAGCUCUCCUAAUUAGCAGAGUAGAUAUCCUAGGCGGGAGGAUCACCGAACGGUGCGUCUACACCUGCGGGCAUGAAACGCAGCCCCCCGAGGAAAGGGGGUCAAUACGGAUAAUGUACUGAGUAUGUAAAGCAUAAGGUAAAGAUGACAGGGUACCAACAUGAUAAGUCGAAACAAUAUAUCGCUACACAUGUACCUUUUAAGUGAAAAUCAAGCAUAUCUUUAACAUAUAAGGUGCCCAGCUUCCCUAAUAAGGGACUCGGCAAAAUAAUCAUCAUAUAUAUACAUCAUACGUACCCGGCCCUCUAGUGAGGGACUCGGUGAAAUAGUCAUCACAUCAUCUCCGUCAUCAUCAUCAUCAUAACCAUCCUCAUCACCAAUCAUAUAUAUAAUAUACAUACCCGGCCCUCUAGUGAGGGACUCGGUGACAUAUGCAAGAAACUCCGCACGAACAUUACCCGGCCCGGGACUCGGUGAAAUGAUAAAUGACUCUAUGCAGGAGCAGAAUAUUAUGAGCAACCAUAUGCAAUUAAAAUCAUUUUUUAUAACUCAAUAGAACAAUCAACGUGAACCAGCAAGGGGUAUUACCAAAGAUUAAUGUUUUAUCAAGAUUAUGAACCUUUAAUAUGAUAUGGAAACGUAAAAUCUCAAUGACUCUAAGAAGCACUACCAUAGAUAUGAGAAAUCACCAUAGCCUUAGACAUAGCCGAUAUAUAGAGGAAUAGUUGUGGAAACAAGAAUAUACGUCACCUAGACGCUCUAGAAGUAAGUAUCAAACUUGUCCGUCAUUAGCUCAUUUUUAAAAGUCAUGCCAAACAAAGAAAGAAAGGAUAGCGUUACAUACCGUAUAGUCGAGCCGCACGUCCAAUAUUUACUACUCAAGCUAUUAAUCUAUAACAAGCAACAAUCGUGCCGCAAUUAGAUAGACGUCGCGCUUUACUACUUAUUGUAAGCUAGCUAAUAAUCUAACGAAAAUCCGGCAACACUUCCCCUAUUUUGCUCACUUCGUCCCAAUCCAACAACAACCCAAAUUAUCCACAGCAAUACCAAUAACACAUAUAACCCAACGAACCAUAUAUAAACAGCCCCUCCCCCCAAAACAGUUCCGUCUCGGCAACCAUAGUAACGAAACAACGACACACCGAGCGAUAACUCUUUUUAUAAUUCGCAACAUAUCGACCUUAUCGUAUUCAUCCUUUGGAGUAUAUACCCAAUCACAUUAACAUAAAACAUAACACCAAAACAGAAUUUCCCGCAUUUUUCUUUAAUAAAAAAAGCCCAAAUACUAACACGACACCACUAAUAACCUGAUUAUGGUUUCCGUUCAUACUUAGCACAUUCAAUAACUAAAACAAAUUUUCAAAGCUACUGGUCAUGCCCCCUUAUUAACAUUAAUGGCUAAUUAACAAUGGCAUUCUAAGGAAUUAACACACCAAGCAAAGAAAUUACUAACCAAAUUCUUUUGUAGCUGCUGGCCGAGAGUUGCAUGGUUGGUUUUAUCCAUUUCCAUGGCUACCUAAGCUAAGUGGUGAAGAAGAUGAUAUGUUUGCAAUGCAUUUCACCACCUCAUUCAUAAUAUGAAGUGGAGGCAGCCCCCCUCUACACGUGCCCCACUAAGGUCCAGCUCCCAAUCUGAUUUCUUUCAAUUUGCCUUGAGUGGUGGAGCCCACUUGAUUAAUUUAAUCUUAGUCAGCCACUAGUUAAUCCCUUACUUAGUUAAUGACACUUACAUUAGACAAAUCAUACUUAAUAUCACAUUUGGAAUUAACAUCCUUGCCUAAUAUUUCUUUAAUCACUUGGAACUUAAAAUAAAAUCUCAUUCCCCGGGCUUACACCUACUAGUUCAUGAUGCUCACUACGUAUAAAAAUACGAGGCGUAACAUAAACUGUGUGAUAUCCAAUUAUGAUAAGAAAUCAUUUUACCAAAAAAGUUCCUAUGUUUUGAAAUAAGAUACUUCAGUAAAUUGGGUAAAACUUCAAUUACUAAUAAUAUCCACCGAUAAAAUUUAGCAUAAAUACACAACAAUAUAACAAACAAAUAUAUGGGCUGCAAAGAUAUUAACUCUCAAAGGAUUUUCUGAAGAAUACAAAAUCACAUCCUUCUUUGGGAAGGAAUAACAUUGUCGAUGAACAAAAUGAGAUUUGUAAGGGCUAUUUUUAAUGUACCUUCAACAAUUUAAGUACAUAAAACUUUCUUGAAUAUUAAUUAAGAUUUGUUAUUUAAUCUGUACUAAGAAAUUCUUAUAACAAUAAUUUUACAUAAACAUUACCAACAAAGUUUAAAACAUUUAUUCAAAAACAAUAAUUAAUUAUAUAAGUAUAAACUAAUGAUUGUAAAAAUAUACCAGGAUAUGCAACAAUAAAUGUAACCAAAUAAAAAAUAUCGCGUUCACUAAAUGAACAAUGUAAGUCAUCUAUUCAUAGACAACAAAGAAUAGUGUAGAAAUAUGAUUAUUGUGUCUUAUCUAACUGUACCACAUUAUUUAUUUAUAUUGUCAAAUAAAAAUCAGUUUUAAAUUUAUGUAAUUUAAUUCCUAGUACAUUGGUAACUGAUUAAGAGUUCUUUUUCUUCCUUUGUAAAACUCCAUAAUUUAAAUUAUUAAAAUUUUAUAGAUCAAAAUUUCAUUAGUUUUUUGGCAUACUUACAAAUAACAUAUGCCACCAAAAUAGUAAAUUUUUAGGGUUUUGGACAAUUAAAAUAAAUGUCUAUGAUUAUAUAAUAUAAAAUGUGUUUCAAUUUUAAAAACAAAAUAGAGUCUACACUUGUAUUAAACUAAAAGCCCUUAUAAUAAUACGAAUUUUGAAAAUAUACUAUUUAAAACCCCACUUCCCCUGAAUUUCCUCGUGUUCACACAUUUCCUAAUUUGAAACUAUUUUUUUUAAAAAAGAUUAAUUUUAAUAUUUAAAUAAUAUAUAACUGGAACAUGAAAACUUAAUGAUAAGCCUUAUCCAUUACACAUGAUAAUUGUAUGAAUUAAUGAAUUUAAAAACUUAAUUAAGAGAAAAAAUUAAGGCUUGAAGAGUGGAACCGUUUGCCACUUCAUAAUUACACAUGUAUUAGUGUUAGACCUCAUUUGUUUCUGUUAAGAUUAAGAGGUCAGGAUCUGAAUACAUAUUUGAAUAUCAAUAUUUGCAUUAAGAUUCAGGUGUUUUAAUAUGAAUACACAUCAAAACACUAAAUAACUAGUGUUGUUUGUUUUUUCAAUAUAUGAAUGUGCAUUUGAAAUUAACAUUAAAUUAGUAAAAUAUCAUAAAAGUUUCAUUUUAACAAAAUAUAUCACUUUUGAUUAAAAGAAAGUUUUAAUAAUCAUGAUUUGGAGUACAAUUUUUUUAUUCAAAAACAUUGAUAAACACCAAUGCACCAACAAUGUUCUUGAGACAGUCAAUACAAGAAAAUUUUUGAUAUAAAAAAAACUUGAAAGAAUUUAUUAAAACUUACCAAUUCAAGAGGGAAUAAUGGUGUUUGAUUGAGAAAAGAGAUAAAGAAAGUUUUUAGUUAUGAGAUAAAAAAGCAGGCUGAGAAGCGAUGUUAUUAUUUGAUAACUUAUUGAAUGAGUCUGAAUGUUGUUAACAUACUCCUAUAGAUCUUAUCUAUUUAGACCUCUUCAGACUCAUUAAGAGGUUUUCUAAAAAAACAAAAUAAAUGAACUUAAUAGGUGAAUUUAAAUAAUUCAGAUUCAGACCUAAAAACCAAACUACUUAGUAGGUUAAAUUUGAAUGAUUAAGAUUUAGACUUUCAUUAAGUGCAAACAAAUGAGGCCUUAGUCCGAAGAAUAAUGUAAUUGGAGGCAUUAACAACAACAAUAGGAUAGUCAUCAAUUGUUUUCCGAAAUACUUACAAAUCCUUGAUAGUUUUUAUAUAUUUAUUUUUUGCCAUUUUUUUAUUUUUUUUUGUUCCUAAUUGCAAGUAAUAACUCUUAGAGGUAAAUAAUGUUUGGUUAUGAUUUUUGUGUUUUUUCAUAUGACUUUGAAUUUUUGGAUGAACCGUUAUAUAGUUCAUUUUUUCUUUUCAAGAAGCACAAACAUGGAUUGUUAAAUUAAAAAAUUUUGAUAUGUGGAUUAAUUACUAAUAAAAUAAAUUUUGAUCAAGAGAUGGGCGACAAAUUUAGAGUAUAAGGAAUAGCUAUAUUUUCGCCUUUUUCAAAUAUAUUUUAAAAUUUGUGCUUGGAUAAUUAAUUUAAAAAAUAUUUGUGAUUCACGAUUGACUUAGUAUUUUUAAAAAUUGAUUAUGAGAGUUAAAUUAAGAAGAAAGUAAAAUGCAAUUUUAAUAUGAAGAUUAAUUAUUUUAUAGAGAAAAAUUAUUUUAAAUAUCUAUUAUAAAAUUUUUAAGUAAUAGUUAAUUUCAAUUAAAUUAAUAUGUAGAUAUUUAAAUUUUAAUUUAAUAUUAUACAUAUAUAAAUAAAAAUAAAUUUAAAAACUCAAAUCCGUAAAAGUAUGGUGCAACUUAUGCAACAUGAGUCUUUUAUGUAUUUAUUGAAUUGAAAUGAAAUGACAAUAGAAGAAUAGCAAAAAUAUAAUGAUAAUAUUCCAUAACGAAAGGGACAAAAUCUUAAGAAAAAAUUGACAUAUUAAAGAAUUCACACAAAUCGAGUCUUUUAUAUCUCGAUUGUAUUGAAAUUAAAAAUAUUUUUUGAAAUUCUUUUUUAUAUUAAGCUGCAUAUAAGUUAUGUCAAACAUCAUGGUCAUAAGAAACAAAUUCAAACAAAUUAGCAAAAAAGUGAAGAUGCAUGUCUACUUAUCACACUUUAAGAAGACUUUUUUUACUUUAGAAAUUUCUGAGUUUGGCAAUUAUUUUAUACUUAAAAGAAAAUUUUGUGACAUGAUUAUAAUUGAGAUUUUAUUGAGUGUCCUCAAAUAUAGUUUUUCUUAAAUAAUUUCUUAUAUUAUUUUUAUCAUAUUAUUAUUAUUAUAUUUUUAUUCUUAAUCAAUACAAUAAAAAUAUAUUUUCUUAAAUUUUGAGAACUAAUACAUAGGUAAUAAAAAACUUUCUCAUUGAUUUUCUCUAUCUUCUUAAUGAUAUUUUUUUCUAAUUUGUUUUUGCAAUAAGGAUUUAAUUUGAUAGGAAUUUUUUUUCUUAUAUACACGUAUCCGUUCAUUCUAUUAAUAAAAACUGAUUUGGAAAUUAAUUUUUAAUAUAUAUAUAUAUAUAUAUAUAUAUAUAUAUAUAUAUAUAUAUAUAUAUCAUAUAAUUAUAUGUAUCAUAUAAAAAAUAUCAUAUAAUUAUAUGUAUUUUUUUCAAAAAAAUAAAAUUUAUGAUAAAAAUAAAAGAUAAAAUUUAAUAUUUUGAAUAUCAUUCUUAUAAUUUGAUAAUAAAAUGUUUAAAGAUGUUUUAUGGUUGAAAUUGUCAUAAUCAUAAUCAUAAAACUUCUCUUUGUUACAAUUUAUCUUUUUCUAAUAUUUAACUUUAUUAGAUUUUUAUUUUCCCAACAAGAUGAUGAUACAGACAGAUUGUGAGAGUAUCUAUGAUUUUAAAUAAUCUUAUAAAUAAAUGAAAUAAUACUAAAAUUAAUUAUUGUAGACAAUGUCGAUAACGUAUAAACUUUAAUAUUGAUUUGUUUUCGCAAGUAUUCUACUAUAACAUAUCAAUCUAUCAGAUGUUAACACUCUCUAAUAUAAACAUUACUAUAUUAUUUUAUAAAUUGACUUUGAAAUUAUCAAUAAAUUAUACACAACACGGAUACGUAUACUAAUCUAUAUAAUAGGAAAAUACAAAAUGACACAUAUCAACACUAUAAUUUUUUCAUAAUUUUAAACUAUAAAUGAUUGAACAUUGUAUAACUAAUAAAAUAUUCUCAAUUCUAAGUUUAAAAUAAAAAUAUGCAUGUGAAAUAAAGACCAAUUGAUUAUUUAACUCAUCUUCAAUGAACGUUAAAUAGAUUAUUACUAUUAUUGUUUGAAAUAUUAUCGAGGACAGAUUUAGAUUUACUAUAAGUGAAAUAGAUUAUAUAAGAGUUGGAGUUUUCACAUGUGAUGAAUAUAAUAUUUAUGACAACAUAAUAAAUAUAUCAGUUUUUUGUUUCAAAUUUAUAAAUAAUAAAAAAAACUAGAGCAGUUUCAUAAUCACUCAACAAGGAAACUUCAACUACAUCGAUAGACUAUAUUUUUAAAUGCAUGCAUUAUACAUCGAACUUCUUUCACUAAAACAAUUACGUUUUCUCUGAAAUUUGAAAACAGACAUGACUACACAAUUUUAAUACAAAUUGAGAAAUUACAGCCAAAUAUAUGCAAUGAACCUGAUAACCGUGUUGUUCGCUUGUGGAUAAUACCAUAUAAAUCGAAGUCGUGAAUAAUACCUUACUCUUUAGAGAUGGUUUUGCAGGACGAAAAGGUAAUAUUCAUAUAAAUAUUUUUUUAUUUACACGAUAAUAAGUAUCAUAAUACAAUUAGUUUAUAGAUACAAUUCCCUUAUAUUUAUUCAUUAGUUUUUAUUUACGUAAUUUUUCAAAUUCUUCAUUCUUAGAAAUUUUGUUUGAUAUUUUUAUUUUUAUUUGUAAAUUGUGAUAAUCAUAGUAUAACAUAUUAUGUCUCAAUUUUUUUCUUCGGUUACAAUAGAUAUAUAUUCAAAUAAGGAGUGAAGAGGUAUAUUUUGAGUUUGUUAGUUUGAUUCUUAAGUUUUAAUUAGUGGAGUAAUUAGAAUGUUGAUUUUGUUUUGUUGAUAUUUUAUGAUUAAUUGAGUUGAUGCUUUCAAGUGUUAAUUUUCCUUAAAAUUUAAAUUAUUAUUUCAAUAUAAUACUUAAACUGUUAUAUAUAUAUAUACAGAGAGAGAGAGAGAGAAUAAUUGAGGUACACAUAAUAAAUCAAAAAAAUAUAACAGUUUGAGUAUUAUAUUGACAUAAUAAUUUUAAUUUUAAGGAAAAUUAACACUUGAAAGAAUCAUUUGAUUACUUCACUAGAUACUUGUCAUAGUAUUAUCACUAGCCAAUUCAAUUACUUCAUGAAUGAAUUAUAGUAGUCUAACAUGUUAAACAAGCCAACUUUUUACCUUUGAUUAGUCUAUGAAACAAUUCAAUGAACAACUUAUAACAAUUUCAUCUUCUCGAACACAAGUAGGCAUUACAACAUUCAUAUCUCAUGUAAAUAACACCCUAAGCAUGCAGAUCUAACAUGUAGGUUUCAUUCGACAUAUAAAUCACUAAAACAUACACAUAAUGAUCAGUUAGCACCACGUACAAUCAUCAUGCUCAAGAUUUACAUCAUACAAAUUACAAGAAUUGGAAAUUAGGAGAACUAGGGAGAUGAACAUGCGACUCAUUGGGAGUAACCCUAGUUUCGAUAUUCUUGAUUCCAAAACGUUUGAAAAGCCUCUUGGAGAAAGAAUUCCAGGAGAGAAAUCUCAUACCUUAUGUAGAAUUGAAUCUACGAAUAUCACCUUGCACCUUUUCACAAAUACUUAAAAGAACUUCUUGAAAUCGCCUAAGGAGAACUUUUGUUUUUCUUGCAUUUUACUGCUUUCAAGUCGUGUGUUUCUUAGUGAAUGAUUGUGUGUCUAGGUCUAGGAACCGAAUAUUUAGUAAUUUAACUUAGACUAAUUAACUUCAUUAAUAAAUCAAUUAGCUAAUUUACUAAAAUGCUCCUCCUAAAUUGACUAGAAUUAGAAAAACACUUGACUUGACCAAAAUCUAGAAAUUGCUUAGUGGUUUUGGUUUUGACCAAUUAAAUUAAUUAAUUAAGUUGCUAAUUUAAUUAAUUAGGUCCUAGGAUAAUUACUAAAGUAACCCUAAGUUGUUAGGACCAUAAUCAACCCUUUGGACCAUCCUAGGUUAGGUACUAUGAUGUUUCUUAGUUAGUUACUUGUCUAGUGUAAGGAUUUCGGUUUGACCAUUUAAAUUAAUUAAUUAAGUUGUUAAUUUAAUUAAUUAAGUAACCUAGGGUAAUUACUAAAGUACUCCUAAGUCAUUAGGACCAUAACCAACCCUUUUGGACCAUCCUAGGUUAGGUACUAAGAUGUUUCUUGAGUUAGUUACUAGGUUAGUGUCACCCGGUUUGGUCUUAGGUUGUCGGGUGCACUAGUUAGUUUAUUUCAGAUAGUCCUAGGUUAGUUAGCUAGUUAAGUAAGUUAGAUAGAGCCUAGAGCUUUUUAGGAAGCUCAUCCUCACAUGGCACGACACCCACAUGUGCGCCUGCCCCUAACCGCCCUAACCACCCUAACCAAAUUCUUGCACAUGGGUUGCUGCUCAUUUCUUGUUGUUCCAAGUAUCCUCACUAUAUUCUUGGGCACUUUUUACUCUGCAUGAUCAUUUUAAUUGAUCAUGUGCUAUGGUACCUAGGCUUGACACUUGGAUGCCUCGUACAUAGUAUUGUAAGCUAUGAAAUCUAUAUUUUAUCCUAGGGUCUUCAUUGUAGGUACAAUUCCUAAACUAGAUUGGAUUGGCGCAUUUGCACACCAAAGCAUAUCUUAAUACAUAAAAAUUGGCUAAAAAUCAAAGUGUAUUUUAAGUUACUUGUUGAUACAUAAAAUUUGGCUAACACCCUUAAGCCAAUAUUCUCUAACAUUCCCAAUAUUACUAAAUAUUGGGCAUUAGGAUGCCUAUCCCAAUACAUACUCUUAAAACUUAAUAGUCUUUCACUAGACGAGUACAUUUUUAGGAAUGUUACAAUAGAAUCACCCCCUCAAAAUGGAUUAUCAUCAACGUACAUCAUGCAACCUUAAUUUGACCAUACUCAGCCCUAGUUCAUUAUCUAAGGCUUCUUCCUAGGGUUUAAAUAAUAAAUAAUUCAGUACACGAAGUCCUAUGCAUAGUUCCUACCAUUGAUUACAUAUAUUACACAGUGAGCACAUAUUUAAACUCCUCAAUUCAUAAACACCUAGCCUACUUGGGCGCCAAGUAGUUGCACAAAGUUUUGAACCUCAAUUAUGAUUUUUUUUCAAGCUUCAUGAUGGUGAAUUUGGCUGGUAUAUGCAAGAUAUCACCAUCGUCUCGCAAAAAAAUCAUAUUCUCCUCCCUUACCAAGGAUAGAGUUGCUUUUUGAGGUUUCUAGCGUGUACUAUAUAAGGUAUUGACUUGAAUGUUGGGGCAUAGAUUAUCUCCGACUGGAAGAUGUCUAUCGGUGUAAACAGAAGGUGUUCUUUCUUCUUGGUCUUAUUACUAUGCUAUGUAAGCGAGCAGGAGUUCCAAUGAUUGAUGUUGAAGAGGUACUUCCUAUGAUCACCCUUCACCCUCUUUUUUUGGAGAAGGUUAUACUUCUAGGAGAAAGAGGAGAAGGACUGGUAGUUCUUGUAGUGGUUAGACGAAUGUAGGGUUGGACGAGGAGGGAGGUUAUGACACUCGUCCCCCAAUUUCCAAGUCACAAGGUAGAGUAGGACUUCGAUGAUUUAUUAUGGAAUAUGGGGUGCCCUUUUAAUCCCACCAUUCUGGUUCCCCGAUCAUUGUCCUAAAGCUUUUGAUGCUCUGGCGCAAGCUAUGCCCGGAGAGUAGGAAGAACCUAGAGAGGGACCGUAUGAUAAUUUGGCUCCAAAAGACAGUGAAGAUCAUGUUUACGUGCAUCAUCCCAAUGGAAGAACACCCUAGUGGAGAACGUUUAUCACAUUUAGUUUUUGGUUCAGGAUGAGGCUGUGACCGGCCUUUUUGACUGAUAUGGGUGAGUUCGGACACCAUUCGGGGUCUAAAAUAAUUAUUUGAAAAAUAAGGAAGACAUGCCGAGGUUCUUCCUGUUUCAUCCUGCCAUGGUGGGAAUAAUCCUUCCCCAGGAGAAAAAUGGAGAUAGAACUGCUAAGAUUUUUCUGGGGCUCUUUACUUUUUUAAAAUUUCCAAAAAAGUCCUCAACUUCACCCUGCAAUUCAAGAGUAAUUUCUAUAACUAGGACUAUUGUGGUAUACCCUCCAUUCAAUCCCAUGAUAUGCAAGUCAAUUCAAUCUCGUUAAUUUAGAAACCCAACCCGUACAUCCAUAGGAUACACCCCGACAUUUACAUCUCCCUUAUUUAAACCAAUUAGCCAAAAAGUUGGACAUAAUAAGGUUCAAACACACAUUUGUAAUGCAUGAAAUUUCAUCCCCAAAAGCUAGAUAACAAUUGGAACCUUCCCAGUUCUAAUUAACAUUUUGGUUUCCCUUCACUCAUAUCAACGACGUCCAAUUCACUUUGUUGAGAUAUCAAUUGGAAUCGAGCGAUAUCAAAUGGUCACAACUCAUACCACAAGCGACACUCGCAUAAAGAAGAUAAUAAGUGGAAUAAUUUACUAGAAUACGUCCUAGCCUCCUAUAUAUUAUAUGUGGACGUUAACACACCAAUCCGCAAGAGUCUAGUCUACAUUUUGCUCUUGUACGGGGAGACCGAUAACCUAGUCUCGUAUACCAAUUUAUCAGUACCCAACCAACCAGGUCGUGUGGGUAUCCACUCUAACACCUAAGUAGGAGAACCCUCAUACCCAAAUAGUUAAACCCUCAUUUGUCUUCACCUAAUGAAACGCCAUAAAUAUUGUAUUCAGACUAUGCAAAAAAGGCAUAGUAAGAGUAUUAUCAAUAUAAACACACGUACUAUAGGCAUCAUCGAUCAACCCAACGCCCACCGCAUAAAUAAGAAAUUAACUAGAAGAAAUAUAUAAUCUAGCAUUUCUUCCCCACUCUUUUUCAUCUCUUAAAACACCUCAAAUUGACACUAGUACUCUCACUACUAAACACCUUCUCGAUCUACCCACUUACCAGGUACUAGAUCGUCACCUAACCAUUCUAACACAUAGAAAGAGUUUCCAAAUAUAUCUACAUGCAUUCCAACUAUCCUCUCACAUUAUACCAUUACUUUUGUUUCACAUUACAACACAUGAACAACCCUUGCUAUAAGUUACUCGCCCCCUUGAACACUUUUCCCUUCUCUUAUACACAAAAGUUCACUCCACACCAGGAACAAUCAAAUAUAAGUCUUCCUACUCUAUACCAACAAAGCACAACAUAUAUAAUUCAAUAACACAACAUAAUCAAAUCCAUAUGUAGAACACACACCAUGUCAUCAACAUGAAGAACAACGACACAUUUAACAUUCCUUAAGUUUCACAACUAUGUAAAUCAUUAGUCCUCUCAAGGAAUCCAAACUUAAACAGUUAGCAUAGCUAUAUGUAAUUCCCCAUCCAAUAUGUAUGUCCGAACGUGACAACCAAUCCAUAGUUAUGCAAAAACUUGGUAACGGAUCAAAGUUAGUUAUGUUGGAACGUGGCAACAAGCCAAGUUUGUUAUGCCGAAAUGUGACAACUGAUCCAAGUUAGUUAUACCGGAAUGUGGCAACCAAUCCAUUCAUUAAUCCAUUAUCUUAAUCACAACAUAUCAGCAUAGUCAUAUAAAAAAAUAUUUAUGAUCCGUAGUGUCGUCAUUCAUAGAUACUUGUAUACCUACACAUACCACAAUGAAGUAAGAACAACAAACAUCACUAAAUCAUAGAAUCACCCUCCUUACAAUGAAAUAUUCAUCAACGCACAUCAUGUAACCUUAAUUCAACCAUACCCAACCCUUAUUCAUCUUCUAACACUUAUUCUGGGGGUUUAAAGUAUAAAUCAUUCGGUGCACGAAGGCUUACCCAUAAUUCCUACUAAUAUAUAUAAAUUGUAUAGGUAGAAGAUGUAUUUUUUGAUUUUGUUUUCAUUAUUUUAUAUGGCUGCUGUAGUACUGCAUCUUAUAUAAGAACAUUAACAAUACUAGUUCUAUAAGGACAUUAAUAUCUAAGGUAUUACAAAUGCACACAACUUCACUACUAAUAGGUAUCUUAUAGAGUUGUAUAGCUAAUCAACUCCCUCACGUAAUUGAUGUCUUAAUACUCCCCUUGCAAACAGAAGGUGGGUAACCAACUCUAAGUUUGUCCCUUAAGAACUGGAACUGAGCAGAUGAUAAGGACUUGGUGAAGACAUCGGCUAGUUGAUCCUUGGAAAAGAUAAAAUGCACAAGUAGGUCCUUUCUCGCUACCUUAUCCCUGACUAAAUGGAAAUCAUUUUGCACAUGCUUGGUACGAGCAUGUAAUAUAGGAUUAACAGAUAAAUAAGCAGCGCCAAUGUUGUCACACCAUAAGAUAGGAUCUUUUGGUAGGGAGACAUCAAGCUCGAAUAAGAGCGAUUCAAUCCAAGUUAGUUCAGCUGCGGCAUCAACUAAAGCUUCAUAUUCAUAUUCAGUUGAAGACCUAGCAACUGUAUGUUGCUUCUUUGAUGACCAAGAAACUAAGGAAGAUUCCAGAAAAUAGCAUAAUUACCUGUUGAUUUUCGAUCAUCUAAAGAGCCACCCAAUCAGCGUCCGUGAAGACUUGAAUAAACUGAGUAUCAGACUUAGGAAUGAAAUGACACAUAUCCUUGGUGUGCUGCAAGUAUCGCAAUAUCCUUUGACAGCAGCCCACUGAUUUGUGGAAGGAUUAUGCAUAAAUUGAAACACUUUGUUCACCACAAAAGAGAGAUCUGUAUGGGUGAGAGUGAGGUACUGAAGAGCUCUAACAGUUUGUCGAUAUAGAGACGGAUCAUGAAAAGGAGGGCUGUCAUUUUUUUGAAGCUUUAUAGAAGGAGACAUGGGUGGUACCAGUGGAUUACAUAUCUUCAUUUUGCACGUUCCAAUAAGCUUGAAAUAUAGUGAUGUUGGUAUAAAGAGAGACCAGACUUUGUACGUUCAACUUGGAUGCCAACGAAAAGAUUCAAUGGUCCAAGAUCUUUAAAGGCGAAGACAUAGCCCAAUCGAAGAAUAAUAUUGUCCAAGAAUUCAGAAUCACUCCCUGUAAAUAUUAUAUCAUCUACAUAGACAAUGAGAUGGAGAAACCCAUAUACAGCAAAAGGUUGUGAAACUUUAAAUACCAUGCACGAGGAGUUUGUUUGAGUCCAUAUAAAGACUUGUGUAAUCAACAAAAUUGAUCGGGGAGAUGUGGAUAAAUAAAACCAAAGGGUUGAGCCAUAUAUACCUCUUCACGAAAGUCACCAUGAAGGAAAACAUUUUGGACAUCAAGUUGUCGCAAACGCUAGUCAUGAGAAGAAGUAAACGUUAGAAUGAUAUGAAUUGUUGUGGGUUUGACGACAGGACUAAACGUCUCAAAGAAGUCGUGCCCUUCUCCUUGAUGAAAUUCUUUGGGUACUAACCUUGCCUUAUAGCGCUCAAUAGUUCUAGCGGAAUUUUCUUGAUUUUAAAAACCCAUUUGCAGCCCAAAACAUUUAUCGAGGGGUUGCAAGGAAUAAGGGACCAGGUUUUAUUAUGCAAAAGAUCAGUCAUUUCACAAGCCAUCCGCAAGUCUGAUGAUCUAUUAGCAAUAGUGGAACAUGUUGGUUCACUGGUUGGACAAGUUGGUGAGGAAGAUGAAACUACAAGGUUGAAGGAUAGUUGCAUAUUGACUAUCUUGAAAUUGUGAGUCCUAAUAGUCAACAUAGAGGGUUGGUGCGAUCAGGGAUAAAUGGGGAGGCAUUAACUAGUUGUAUGGAAGGAACAGGAGCAGCUAUUUUAGAAUCAGUAGGGAUAAAGGACGAGGGAUCGGCUAGACUCAAAUGGUGGCCUUUUUGUGAUAGCGAUUUGGAGACACUGAGGUUGAUAUUGAUUUGGAAAUACUGGAUAAUAUAUGGACAUGGGAUGUGGGAAAAGAUACAAGCAAUGAAAGCCAAGGAGACUUAUAGUGGACCAUGUGCGUAGGAGGUGAUCCUAGUAGAGAAUUUAAGAAGAAAGGAAAUUGUUCCUCCUCGAAACGUACAUGACGGACCAAAUAUAACCUACCUGACUUUGGAUGAAUACAUCUAUAUCCUAAGUAUCUUGUAUUGUAGCCCAGAAAAACACAAGGUGUUGUGCGAAAAUAAAACUUGUGUUUAUUAUAAGGACGUAGAGAGGGAAAACAAAGAAACCCAUAUUCUUUAAGAAAACGAUAGUCAGGCAAAUUGUUGAGAACUAAUUUGAAUGGAGAAGAAUUAUUAUUUGAUGGAGAAUAAAGGAGAUUGAUUAGAUAAACAGCAGUAUCAAAAGAAAAUGCCAAUAUUUUGACGGAGUAGAGCUAUCUGUGUUAUGCCUCGUAUUUUUUUAUACGUAGUGCGCAUCAUGAUCUAGUAGAUGUAAGUCCGGGGAAUGAGAUUUUAUUUUAAGUUCCGGGGAAUGAGAUUUUAUUUUAAGUUCCAAGUGAUUAAAGAAAUUUUAGGCAAGGAUGUUAAUUCCAAAUGUGAUAUUAAGUAUGAGUUGGCUAAUGUAAGUGCCAUUAAUUUUAAGUGAGGGAUUAAUUAGUGACUGAUUAGGAUUAAUUUAAUCCAAUGGGCCCCACUACUCAUAAUUGGUGGCUGAUUAGGAUUAAUUUAAUCCAGUGGGCCCCACCACUCAAGGCAAAUAUUAAAAAAGGGAUCAGAUUGUGAGCUGGCCUUAGUGGACAGGUGUAGAGGGGGGCUGCCUCCACUUCAUACUAUUAAAUGAGGUGGAGAAAUCUACUCCAUGCUAAAUAAAGUGGUGAAAUGCAUUGCUGCAUAUCAUCUCCUUCUUCACCACUUGUCUUAGGCAGCCAUGGAAAUGGAGAAACCAACCCUGCAACUCUUGGCCAGCAGCUGCAAAUAAUUUGGUUAGUAAUCUCCUUGUUUGGUGUGUUAAUUCUUUAGAAUACCUUUGUUAAUUAUCCAUUAAUUUUAAGAAGGGGGCGUGACCAGUAGCUUAGGAAGUUUGUUUUAGUUAUUGAAUGUGCUAAGUAUGAACGGAAACCAUAAUCGGAUUAUUAGUGGUGUCGUGUUGGUGCUUGGGCUGUUUUGAUUAAAGCAAAAUGCGGAAAAAUUCUAUUUUGGUAGUAUGUAUAUGUUAAAUGUGAUUAUGAGUAUAUACUCCAAAGGAUGAAUACGAUAAGGUAGAUGUGUUGCGAAUUAUAAAAUGAGUUAUCGCUUGCUGUGUCGUUGCUUCGCUGCUAUGGUUGCCGAGACGGAACUGUUUUGGGGAGGGGACUGUUUAAUAUGAUUCGUUGGGUUAUAUGUGUUAUUGGUAUUGCUGUGGAUAAUUUGGGUUGUUGUCGGAUUGGGACGAAGUAAGGAAAAUAGGGGAAGUGCUGCCGAAUUUUCGUUAGACUAUUAGCUAGCUUACAAGAAAGUAAAGCGCGAUGUUUAUCUAAUUGCGGCAGGAUUGUUGCUUGUUAUAGAUUAAUAACUUGAGCAAUAAAUAUUGGACGUGUGGCUCGAUUAUACGGUAUGUAACGCUGUCCCUUCUUUCUUUGUUUGGCAUGACUUUUAAAAAUAAGCGAAUAACAGACACGUUUGAUACUUACCUCUAGAUCGUCUAGGUGACGUAUAUUCUUGCUUCCACAAUUAUUCCUCUAUAUAUCGGCUAUGUCUAAGGCUAUGAUGAUCUCUCAUAUCUAUGGUAGUGCUUCUUAGAGUCAUUGAGAUUUUACGUUUCCAUACCGUAUUAAAGGUUCAUAAUCUUGAUAAAACAUUAAUCUUUGGUAAUACUCCUUGCUGGUUCACUUUGAUUGUUCUAUUGAGUUAUAAGAAAUGAUUUUAAUUGCAUAUGGUUGCUCAUAAUAUUCUGCUCGUGCAUAGAGUCAUUUAUCAUUUCACCGAGUCCCGGACCGGGUAAUGUUCGUGCGGAGUUUCUUGCAUAUGUCACCAAGUUCCUCACUAGAGGGUCGGGUAUGUAUAUUAUAUAUAUGAUUGGUGAUGAGGAUGGUUAUGAUGAUGAUGAUGACGGAGAUGACGGGAUGAUUAUUUUGCCGAGCCCCUUACUAGGGAAGCUGGGCACCUUAUAUGUUAAAGAUAUGCAUGAUUUUCACUUAAAAGGGUACAUGUGUAGCGAUAUUUUGUUUCGACUUGCCAUAUUGGUAUCCUGUCAUCUUUACCUUAUGCUUUACAUACUCAGUACAUUGUCCGUAUUGACUCUCCUUUCCUCGGGGGGCUGCGUUUCAUGCCCGCAGGUGUAGAUGCACAGUUCGGUGAUCCUCCCGCCUAGGAUAUCUACUCUGCUGAUUGGGAGAGCUCCACUGUUCCGGAGCCCAGUCGUUUUGGUACAUAACUUUUGUGUAGUCUUUUGCUCGUCUAUGGGUAUGGCGGAGCCCUUUCCCGUUGAGUUUCACUACUGUACUCUUAGAGGUCUGUGGACAUUAUGUGGGUUGUAUAUAUAUGUUUUGGAUAAUGGUUAGGACAUGGUUUUUUUAAGAUGUCCACUUGUACAGGGGCAGCCUUGUCGGCUGUGUACAUCAUUGUGUAUUGUGUAGUGGCAGCCUUGUUGGCUUACUUAUGUUAUUAUGCUUUGGAUAGUGGCGGCCUUGUCAGCUCGCGUAUGUUGUUACUGUUGAAUGGUUAUGACUCCUUAUGAGACAGGUCCUCUUUAUAUAUAUAUGACGUUGGGGUUGGCUUGAUUUAUAUAAAUUCCAUAUUGUCUUAGUUUCAGUUGGUUAUACUUAGCAAGUUUGUAUGUGGGUGUCCAAAACGGGCACUAGUCACGGCCCAUCGGGUUGGGUCGUGACAAUCUGUCAUUAGGCUGAGACCGGUUUCAACUAUGUGGCCAUGCUUUUGUUCUACUUUUGCCUGUUGUUCAUGAGUGUGGUGGCAUGAAAGCCAAUGAAGAAUCCAUUGUUUAUUUAAAACAGGAGUGAGCACACAAAAUUCUCCGCCACCAUCUGUUUGGAUAGACUUUAUGGUGGUAUUGAAUUGAUUUUUAACAAAUCUCUUAAAUUGAAGAAAAAUAUGUGAAACAUGUGAUUUCUGAAACAUUGGAAAUCCCCAAACAAAAUCGCUAUAGUCAUCCACAAAAACAAGAAAUUAACGAUGACCUUCUGAAGAAAGAAAAGAAGAUGGUCCCCAAAUAUCCGCAUAAAAUAAUUGUAAAAACGAAGAACUUUUAUUGCUACCAAUGGAAAGAUUUAAUUUGUGCGACUUGCCAAGUUAAAAGAGGUACAAAUAUUAUUCAACUUAGACUAGAAAGUGGUAAAACAUGUUGGAGGACUUGAUGAAGGACUGUUUAUGUGGAUGACCCAAGCGAAUAUGCCAACAAUUUUUAGAAGCUUUGGCUGAGAGAUAUGCAGAGGAACGAAAUGUUGAGGAGAGCUUGAAUAGAAGAGUGUCGAGAUCAUCUUUACUUGGACCGGAAAGAAGGACCUUCCUGGUAGCUUGAUCCUUAACAGGAAAAUAAGCUGGAUAAAAUUCAAAGAAGACUCUAUGGUCAUUAGAAAACGCUGAAAACAAAGUAAUGGCUUAGUAACAGAUGGAACAUGAAGAACAUUAGUGAGACAAAAUGAAUUUUUGGUGGAUGAAAGAAUGAAUUACUAGUGUGGUGGAUAGAUAGACUAGCCCCAUUUCCAACCUUCAAGUGAUCUACCCCUUUGUAUGGCUCUUCUUGAUGAAUGCCUGUGAGAUGUGGCAUUAUAUGGUUUGUUUCUCUAGUGUCCGAGAACCACGAUUAGUCAAUGGAAUUGGUGCCUGAUAUGAGAGAUGUGCGAAAGGAUUAAUCGUGUGACUAUAACACUGAAAGCAUGUGUUUGCUUAGCGAUUGGUGCCAUUAAAUAUUAGGCAGUGAACUUUGUUGUGAAGAGACGGAUGCCAAGGUUGACCAUUCGAAUUAUUUCGAGAGGAUGAGCAAUGACCACCUCUACCACCUCUUCCUCUAGAGUUUCUACCACGACCACAAUAAUUGGAAAUAUUAUGUUGAGAGCAAUCGUUGGAGGUGUUGGAUUGUUUACUAAAGUGAACAACAUGUUGAUCAGUAUGUGGAAGGGGUGAUAAUGUGAGGGAAUAUAAGGUAUGUCCAUGUAUGAACUCAUAAUUAAGUAACAAGCUAUGAAGUUCAGAAUAUGUCACGGGUUCAGGUCUUGCAGAAAGAGCGGUUACAAGGUCCUUAAAGUCAGAGAGGAGACCUUUAAAAUAUAGAUAUUAAGAUCCACAAGACAAAAAUGGUCUACCAACGACAGCUAACUCAUUAGAAAUAUGCUUAGCCUUUUGAAGAUAUUGGGUGACAGUAAGAUCAUCUUGCUUGAGAUUUUGAAGGGACAUAAGGAGGUUAAGAAUUCGAGUAUUGGAGGUAUAAUAAAGAGCCUUUCCGAGAGAAUCUUAAUCUUGUUUAGAGGUAGCGAGACCAAUCACAAUCGGUAAGGUCUCUUUGGAAAGAGAAGAUAUAAGCAAACUUAAUAUGAGUUUAUCCUGUUGGAUCCAUUGGGCAUGAUGAGGAUCAAUCUCGGGGUUGUGUUUUCCUGCUAUGAUGUUAUGGGAUGACAGACAUGGAAAAGAGCCAUCGACAUAUCCUAAUAAAUUUUGACAACAAAGAAAGGGUAACAAUUAGGUUUUCCAAAAUAAAUAAUUGGUAGAAACUAAUAUAAUGGAAAUAAGGUGGUGAGCAUGGUUGAUAGGGGAGGGAGACGAGGGAGAGAAAACGUUGAUCGGAGAUUCUAAGGAAGAAGAAGAAGUGGUCAUGGCAGCUUCUGAUACCUUAUUCAAAUACAACUGUGUAGGUAGAAGCUGUAACUUUUGCUUCUAUUUUCAUUGAUCUUCUAUGGUUGCAGUAGUACUGCAUCUUAUACAGGGACAUUAACAAUACUAAUUCUAUAAGGACAUUAAUAUCUAAGGUAUUAUAGAUGCACACAACUUCACUUCUAUUAGGUAUCUUAUAGAGUUGUAUAGCUAAUCAACUUCCUCAAGUAAUGAUUUCUUAAUAAUUCCUACCAUUAAUUUACAUAUAUUACACACUGAUCACAAAUUUAAACUACUAAUUUCGUAAAAAGAUAGCCUACCUGAGCGCCAAGCAGUUGCACACAGUUUUUGACCUUGAUUCCUGUUUUUCGGGCUUGAUGAUGGUGAUUUGGCCAAUAAUCUGCAUGAUAUCACCAUUCUCUAGCUAUAAAUCUUCUCCUCCUUCCUUCCCAAGUUUAGAGCAUUUUCAGAGGUUUCUACGGUGUUUUUAAGACUUAUUUAGGUAUUUCAUGAAGAUGGAGGAAAUAGGAUUCUCAUAAUUUAGUUUAUGCCUCGCCUAUCCCGCCAUGGAAUUAGCUUACUCUGCGGAGGGGUCGCCGCCGUAGCGGCAUGUGGCUCGCUAUGGCAGCACAAUGGUUUAGAUUUUCCCAGAUUUUUGUUUCUCCCAAAUAACGACGGUCCACAUUGUUACAAGACAUUCAAGAUAAUUAUGUAAUUAAUGGUUAUUAGUUGAUUAUUUAUCAUAAAUAGGUCGUUGAUGUCAUGCUAAAAUCAUCAGGUAAUAAUAUACUUCUUACAUAUUUGGAAAAGAUAUACAUCCUCGUUCAAUUCGUCACAUAUACUUUCCAUUUAAAUCCAUUUAAAAAAUAACUAUAAUUUUUCUUUUCAUAUAUUUGAAAAUGUCUGAUACAUGCAUCUGAUGACCAAAAUUUGGCACGAUAAUAAUUUUUAAAACUCAUGAAAAUGAGCGUAUUAGGCCCUAAACAAAUUAAAUUUGUAUUGUUUAACCUAUUAAAUUCAAUAAUAUUUAAAGUAAAAUUCAUGGGAUAAUAUAACAUUUAAUAAAUUUAAACAAUAAAAUACAGUAGUAAAAUACAUUAAACAUUUUACUCUCUUUAAAGUGGUAAAAAAAUUAUAAAGUUAUAUGUGUCACUAUGAAACAAUUACCUCUUGGGUUCAAUUUCCAAAGUCCUUGUGAAACAACGUGGUCAUGUUGUUCCUAGAACAACCAUAUGUCUCUUUCCAAGCGCUAUUUUGUCAUUUUACUAAACCCAUAAAAAUGAAAUACCUCUUCAUUUUUUUUCCAACUUUCCACCUAGAAAUUUUUUCCUUUAUAAGCUCCAAAUGCCUAAUGGUUUCUUCGUACUCAAACUUUCAUUGAGUUUUUAAUUUUUAAUUUUAUAUUUUUUAGUUCAAAAUUCAAUAGCUUUCUCGUAUGUUAGAUUUUCCUAACAUUGAGAGAGCUGAGGAAGACAUAGGAAUUUCAUCUGUAGAGAAUGAAAAAGUGGAAUUGAAUUUACGGCUUUCAUUGAAUGUUAAUUUUGAUGUUCAUCCGAAAUAAAUGAAUUGUUUUUUGUGAAUAACUAAUAAAAAAUAUUCUUUGAUUUUUUAGGUGGAUCGCAAUAAAGUUUUGCUCAACCAUAGCUGAGGUUCAAACCCUAAAACCACCUACUCAAGGUAUCCAAAUAUUGCAAAUUGAUUCAUAUAACAUGUAAAUUAUAAUUUGUAUCAAAAUCAAGGUAGGAAACUAUUUUGUUUCCUUAAGUUCUCGAUGUUCAAAACAUAUUUUGUUGAACAGAAAUCACAUGUCUAUUCAGGAAAUUAUAUUGCUAAAUCAAAGAUCAAAAACUUCAUACUCAAUCAUAUGACUAAUGUUUUAACAAGUGAUGAAGGACCAAAUGGAAAAAAGAUUGAAGGACAUUUAUACUCAUGUAAGAAGAAAGAUGAAGUGGACUUAGUUUCCCUUUGUCAUGAUCUUCUAAUGCAACUUAGUUUGUCAAACAUUCUAGUGGAGGUUAUAUAGAAAACCAUUUAAACCAUAUAUUUAUCGAUGGGAAAUAGAAUAAGAAGCAUUAUUAUUGAUGUUAAUUGAUAUUUCCCUUUGUUGUUGUACCGAAUAAAUUAAAUGGCUAUUUUCCAAAGAGGCCUUAUCUUUUGUAUCGUUAUUAUUUCAUUUUUUUUGUUGUAUUGACUAAAGAUACUCCCGUUAAUGUUAUUUCAUGACCUAAACAUUUGUAUUGGCACCCACACAAACACUUUAAUUAGAUAACCCAAGAACUAAAUAUUUAAAGAUACGUAAGUUGGUUUAAAUGCAUGAAUCAAAUAGAGUUCCCAUUAACUCCAAAGCUUCAAAAACCAAUUAACCAACUAAUGGUGAAGAACAACUCCUAGAAUCCAAAAGUCAAUGAACCAAAACAUCUAAAGUUUAACAAGUGUAAUGAAAUGGGUGCAACCAGAAUAAACAUACGAAUAUGAAACUAGAAAGCCUGAGUCCGAAAGAGUGGACUAAAACAUAAAGAACUCAUGGAAUCCUGGAAGAACUGGCUCACCGUUGAAUUCAAUUGAUCACUGAUCUCCUAGAUGAAGUCUGUCAGUAGCUACCUGAAGAUGACCUGUACUCAACACCAGGAAAGAUCAAGUGCAAUCCUAGUAUUAAGAUUACACAUCAAUCCUAGUAAGUGAAACAUACACAAGCAGUCACAACAUAGUGAACAUGCAAAUACCGAACAUAUACAAUAUCAAUUAUCAUUCAGGAGCAAUGCAUCAUUCCAAAAUUUCAAUAUCAAAUAAUUACACACAUAUCACAAUUAAAUGGUCCUCCAUGGAAUCCACACUCAAACUAUUACCCGAUCCCAGUUUUUGUGCCGCAUGUGACACCCAAUCCCAUUGUUGUGCCAAAAGGUGGCACCCGAUUCAAGUUAGUGAGUUGGAAUGUAAACUUGAUUCAUUCAACAAGCCACAAUCACAAUAACUAUGUAAUUUUUUCAUAAUCAUACAAUCAAAUGUUGAUUUAUGGCAUACAAUAAUUUGUUUAUACUCAUUCACAUUUGAUGAUCAUAGGGCAACAGUCAGACACAUACAUGAAUUAUUUGAAGAAAAUACUCAUUUACAUUACAAAAACAUGAAAUCAAACCAUCACCUACCUCAAAAACAAUCUUUAAUCCUCCUAACAUAUUUGAUUCUUCCUUUUCCAUAUUCUUUCCGCUUGUUCUAGGUGUACAAACAAACAAUUCAGUACAAGGAUCAAUACUUAAGUUCUAAUUUACCCAAAUUAUGAAAAACUCAAUAAUCCAAUACCCAUAUUAUGACCCUAAGGUGCAACUAGGGCUUUUUCGACCAUCCAAAUCAGUUAACCCCCCCCCCCCUGCAAGCAAUAUAUGAUCAACAUUCUCAGUUCUAUGUAUCAUGGGGAGUAGAUUCCUUACCUUUCAAAUCAAAAGUAGUGGAAAAUUUUCAAGAAAUUUCCUGGGUUUGUCUCCAAGCACUCAAGAAUGAAUAUUGCAGAAUAAUAGCAUUUUGGGAGUUUUUUUACUUAAGUCGGUACUGGCCCACUUUGGUAGCCCCCAUUCCGCCAGAAGCCUCGCUCAAACGUCUUUCAUGGAAACAAAGAGUUUUAUUUAUAGUUACAAUCCCCCAUUUCACAAAAUGCCUUCAACCCAUGACAUUCUGAAACUACCCUUCCACACUAGGAGAAGUUUCAGAAGUUCUACUCACCUAAAUUCAAUAUCGUAAAGACGUACGGGUUUCGUAAUGUCUUAACUACACAACCAUGCAAUCAAAUUCAUUAUUAUAUAUAUCAUUUGUUACAAGAUUUCCCUAUUACUCACUAACUUUGAUUUUGUUCAAAUCUUAUCUUGAAUAGGUUGUUACAAUACACAUCAAUUUACACAUCACUCAUCCCUGAGGGACAAACUUGGAAAAUCUAGGCUAAUGUAAGGGUGGAGUAGUAUGUGAAUCAUCGAAUAAUUGGGGAUACUUGUCUCGCAGGUCCUCCUCAGUUUCCCAAGUAGCUUUUUCAACUGGAUGAUGCAUCCAUUAAACUUUCACGAACUUAUUCUCUUUGGUCCUCAGCUUCCACACAUGAUGAUAAAUAUUUGUAACCAGUUCCUCCUCAUAUAGGAGGUGUUUUUCUAACAACUCUGAGUCUCAUUUAUUAUGUAAUCCCUGUCACCAUGAUAUGUCUUCAACACGGACAUACCGGGUGAACUCCCUAUAGAUUAUGACGUAAUGUUUAAUCUAUAUGUAAUUUGUUCUACAUAGUCAAGAAUCUCAGCUGGACCAAUGUAUCAAGGACUAAGUUUGUCGUUCUUGCUAAAUCUGAUCAACUUUUCAUGGGUGAUACAUAACAAGAACUUCAAAUUUAGUCUUAAAUUACAUGUCUCUUACCUUAUGUUUCACUUACUUUUUUUGUCUACUCUAGGCUGCUAAAAUCUUAUCUUGAAAACUCCUAGCUUUAUUGAACAUCCUUCACUAAAUCAACCCCCAAAUAUUUCACAUCACCAACCUCAAAUCAUCCUAUGGGUGAUUUCAAUACUCUUCCAUAACUUGCUCGAAUGGUGCCAUAUGGAUUCUUGAGUGGUAAUUGUUAUGACAGGAGAACUAACACAAAGGUAGGAACUUAUCCCAAUGUCUUCCAAAGUGUUAUGCCUCGUAUUUUAAUACAUAGUGCACAUAAUGAACUAGUAGAUGUAAGUCCGGGGAAUGAAAUUUUAUUUUAAGUUCCAAGUGAUUAAAGAAAUAUUAGGCAAGGAUGUUAAUUCCAAAUGUGAUAUUAAGUAUGAUUUGGCUAAUGUAAGUUCUAUUAACUUUAAGUGAGGGAUUAAUUAGUGGCUGAUUAGGAUUAAAUUAAUCUAGUGGGCCCCACCACUCAACGCAAAUUAAAAGGAAUCAGAUUGAGAGCUGGCCUUAGUGGGGCACGUGCAGAGGGGGGCUGCCUCCACUUCAUAUUAUAAAUGAGGUGGUGAAAUGCAUUGAAACAUGUCAUCUUCUUCACCACUUGGCUUAGGCAGCCAUGGAAAUGGAGAAAACGAACCAUGCAACUCUUGGCCAGCAGCUGCAAAGAAUUUGGUUAGUAAUCUCUUUGCUUGGUAUGUUAAUUCCUUAGAAUGCCUUUGUUAAUUAGCCAUUAAUGUUAGGAAGGGGGCAUGACCAGUAGCUUAGGAAAUUUGUUUUAGUUAUUGAAUGUGCUAAGUACGAAUGGAAACCAUAAUCAGAUUAUUAGUGGUGUCGUGUUAGUGUUUGAGCUGUUUUGAUUAAAGCAAAUAGCGGGAAAUUCUGUUUUGGCGUUAUGUAUAUGUUAAUGUGAUUAUGGGUAUAUACUCCAAAGGAUGAAUACGAUAAGGUAGAUGUGUUGCGAAUUAUAAAAGGAGUUAUCGCUCGGUGUGUCGUUGCUUCAUUACAAUGGUUGCCGAGACGGAACUAUUUUUUUGGGGGGGGGGGGGACUUGUUUAAUAUGAUUCGUUGGGUUAUAUGUGUUAUUGGUAUUGCUGUGGAUAAUUUGGGUUGUUGUGGAUUGGGACGAAGUAAGGAAAAUAGGGGAAGUGUUGCCGGAUUUUCAUUAGAUUAUUAGCUAGCUUACAAUAAGUAGUAAAGCGCGACGUUUAUCUAAUUGUGGCACGAUUGUUGCUUGUUAUAGAUUAAUAGCUUGAGCAGUAAAUAUUGGACGUGCGGCUCGACUAUACGGUAUGUAACACUAUCCUCUCUUUCUUUGUUUGGCACGACUUUUAAAAAUGAGCGAAUAACAGACAGGUUUGAUACUUACUUCUAGAGCGUCUAGGUGACGUAUAUUCUUGCUUCCACAACUAUUCCUCUAUAUAUCGGCUAUGUCUAAGGCUUAAUGAUUUCUCAUAUCUAUGGUAGUGCUUCUUAGAGUCAUUGACGUUUUACAUUUCCAUAUCGUAUUAAAGGUUCAUAAUCUUGAUAAAACGUUAAUCUUUGGUAAUACUCCUUGCUGGUUCACGUUGAUUGUUCUAUUGAGUUAUGAGAAAUGAUUUUAAUUGCACAUGGUUGCUCAUAAUAUUCUGCUCGUGCAUAGAGUCAUUUAUCAUUUCACCGAGUCCCGGGCCGGGUAAUGUUCAUGCGGAGUUUCUUGCAUAUGUCACCGAGUCCCUCACUAGAGGGCCGGGUAUGUAUAUUAUAUAUAUGAUUGGUGAUGAGGAUGGUUAUGAUGAUGAUGAUGACAGAGAUGAUGUGAUGACUAUUUCACCGAGUCCCUCAAUAAAGGGCCCGGUACGUAUGAUGUAUAUAUAUAUGAUUAUUAUUUUGCCGAGUCCCUUACUAGGGAAGCUGGGCACCUUAUAUGUUAAAGAUAUGCAUGAUUUUCACUUAAAAGGGUACAUGUGUAGCGAUAUCUUGUUUCGACUUAUCAUGUUGGUAUCUUGUAAUCUUUACCUUAUGCUUUACAUACUCAGUACAUUGUCCGUACUGACCCCUUUCCUCGGGGGGCUGCGUUUCAUGCCCGCAGGUGUAGAUGCACAAUUCGGUGAUCCUCCCACCUAGCAUAUCUACUCUGCUGAUUGGGAGAGCUCCACUAUUCCGGAGCCCAGUCGUUUUGGUACAUAACUUUUUGUGUAGUCUUUUGCUUGUCUAUGGGUAUGGCGGGGCCCUGUCCCAUCGAGUUUCACUACUAUACUCUUAGAGGUCUGUAGACAUUAUGUGGGUUGCAUAUAUAUGUUUUGUAUAAUGGUCUGGACAUGGUUUGUUUGGGAUGUCCGCUUGUACAGAGGCAGCCUUGUCGGCUGCGUACAUCAUUGUGUAUUGUGUAGUGGCAGCCUUGUCGUCUUGCGUAUGCUAUUAUGCUUUGGAUAGAGGCGGCCUUGUCGGCUCGCGUAUGUUGUUACGGUUGAAUGGUUAUGACUCCUUAUGAGACAGGUCCACUUUAUAUAUAUGGCGUUGGGAUUGUCUUGAUUUGAUUAAAUUCCAUAUUGUCUUAGUUUCAGUUGGUUAUACUUAGCAGGUUUGUAUGUGAGUGUCCAAAACAGGCACUAGUCACGGCACAUCGGGUUGGGUCGUGACAAAGAGUGGUAUCAGAGCGGUUCUUCGUCGGAAGUGUCUAAAGACCAUGUCUAGUAGAGUCUUGUUUAUUGGUGUGUUGUGCACCACAUCUAUAAACAGGAAGCUACAGGACAUUUAGGAUGUCAUCCUUUCUUCUUAUUUUAGAUCGUGCGAUAGAGCUAUAUUAACAGGAUAAUCCCUCUCUAACAAAUCCAAAGAAAGCGAAAGCCCCCUAGAAGGGCAAAUCGGUAGCAGAUGGUACUAGUCAGACCCGGAGAGUUACUAGGGCCCGUGCCCAGUCUAUGCCUGGUAUUGUGCUCCAGUCGGAGAGCUCUGCUACACCGCCACCGCCAGAGGAUCUUAGAGCAGCAACAGCUCCAGUUCGGGGGACACCAUCACUAGCCCCCGAGGCCCCAGCACCUGAACCUCCAACUCCUCAGUCAGGGCUGAGAUAGGGCCAUGAUAGAUGCGGUUCAGUUGCUGACUAGAUUAGUGGCAGGUCAGGCUCGCAGGCUUGGACUAGGAGUUGAUCAUGCGGACAGAUCUGAUAGCUUAAGGGCACGUGACUUCUUAAGUUGUAAUCCUCUAGAGUUCUUUGGGUUAAGGCCCCAGGAGGAUCCGCAAGAGUUUAUUCGUCAGAUGCAGCGUACAUUAAGGAUAACCAAGGCUUUGGAGACCGAGUCUGUUGAGUUGGCUACAUAUCGUUUGCGGGAUGUAGCUAUUAAUUGGUAUGAGUCUUGGGAGUUAUCUGAUUGAUGGUUGUAUGGCAGUGACUCUUCAGCCAGGUAUGGACAUUGCUCGGGUGCAGGCAUAUGCACAGGGGGUAGAGGAUCGGCACCGGGGACGUCAACCAGAUAGAGAUUAUAAUAGAGGCCAGCAUAAGAGGGCUAGAUCAGCAAGUUAUCCUGACGAGUUUCGAGGCGGGCAGUCUCAGCAGCAUGUUAGAUUUUCUUCCCAGCCAGCACAGAGUGCACCCCCACGUUCCAUGGGUAGGGGAUUCGAUCGUACGGGAUAUUCGAAAGCUGGUCAGAGCUCUAGGGUGUCAGGGUCACAGAUGGGCAGGGGUUUGAGCCAGUCGAGGCCACACUUGCCUCGGUGUUCUCGCUGUGGUAGGUUUCAUCUUGGGGAAUGUCAUUGGGCUACAGGUGCGUGUUUUUCUUGCGGCCGUCAGGGUCAUACUAUGAGGGAGUGUCACCUUAGAGGUAGUGCAGGUGGUACUAUUACUCCUAACCACCAUAUUCAAGCUAAGUACUUUAAAAACUUCAUGGACUAUUACUAACCAAGUCCUUUGAAACUAACUAAGGGCUCUCAUUUAGCUAUUUCUCAUAGUAAGACAUGGUUCUCCCAAUCUCUCGGAACUCAUUACUAUCUUAUUCUCAACACUUGACUUGCUUUCUCAUCUUAUCAUCUCCCCCUUAGGUGUAACGCUAGCAUUUGAAAGCUAUGGACCUUUCCACAUCUCUAACUAGUAUACAUUCUGUUAAUUCUCUUUUUACUCUUGUGAAUUAGCAACACUUCGCUGCCCUUAUCUAAACGUUAGGGUAUCUCACUUGUACCACUCUUACCUAUUGCAGCUAAUCACCUUAAUUCCACACUUACUUUAUGUCAACUCUUCUAGAUCAAAACUCAAGACUAACAAAAUCACCCUCACGUUGCCAUUCUUUUUAUCAUGACACUCAUCUCAAAUUUGAGUUAAAUAUUUAUUACUAAACAAGAAUAUCAAUACGAUUGAUCACCUACUAUACUAUACCUCAUUAUUUUUUCAGUUCUAUAACCUUAUAAGCAUCACAACUCUCUCAAACAAAUGAUAAGCCUAGAUUAGAUCCAUCACCUCAUCAAUACUCUUGCUAUUCUGUUAAAAACUUACCCAUGGUCAUUUCCUACACAAUGAAACUUCAUCAGGGUUUCCUUUCUAGCUACCCCACACUCUAGCAACUAUGAUGUGAACUUCACAACUCAUCACUUCUUAGUCUACCAGUAAGGGAAAACUCUUCAUUCAUAACUUACUAGGUGCAUGACUAAUAAUAUUAUCCAUCCCAUCACUAUCUCCCUUACUUAGAUUACUAAACCUUUUGAUACUUUCCUCUAACUCUAGGCUCUUUCACUACUACUACUCAUGAUCUCAUAACUCAUGCUACCUUUUUGGGUGAAAAUCAUACCCAAGCUCUAAACAUAUUUCUUUAAAUGUAUCUAAUCUAAAACAAGGCUUAAGGAAAAGAGUACAACUCUCUUUUAGUUCAAAUGCAAGAUUCAUAUGAAUGAGGGAAUUCCUCUAAACUUUACAUUUCACUUACUUUUGGGAUUAUCUUAAGCCAUUCUAGAAGUCUCAUGAAUUUAUCAAGACUCUUGCUAAGAACAAAUCAUCAACAGAUAAUUGACUCUUCUUUUCAACCACACCUAGUAUGAUGGGUAGUCGAAUGAAUCUGAGAAACUCACGAGUACGAAUAAAUCUCUAUGACAUAUAUCUAUUGCAUAAUUUAGAGUAUGAAAGAAGAGAAACUUUUAUUAAAUGUUUGUAGUCCCUCAUUUACCCAAUUAGGUCCCUCACAACCAUAAAUAAGAUCCUACUUGACACGACUUCAUCAACACUAUAGGACACUUGAACUCUUUGCUCUAAUACAAUGUUUGUCACGACCCGAAUCUACACCCUAGACAUGGUUGGCACUCAAGAAACAUUGCUAGUUCCCAAGAAAACCCUUGUCCUGGCUGUUUAUAAAAGUGGAGACUAACUUAAUCAUAAAACAACUCAAAACUAAAAUAAAAGUUCAUAAAACAUAAAAACAAACUUCAAGUCCAAAUAAAACUGUGUAUAAUAAAAUAUAUACAACUCGACAUACAUGGAAACUUUAGUUUGUAAAAUGCUUAUUAAAUAAAAUAAAGACUUCUAAAAAUCUAUUUUCCAUCUAUGAAGCCUUUAAAUGACAAUAAUGGAGGUCAUGAAAAGACUCACACCUCAUUUAAUAGUAUGAAGUGGAGGCAGCCCCCCUCUACACCUGUCCACUAAGGCCAGCUCACAAUUUGAUCCCUUUUUAAAUUUUUUACCUUGAGUGGUGGGGCCCACUGGAUUAAAUUAAUCCUAAUCAGCCACCAAUUAUGAGUUGUGGGGUCCAUUGGAUUAAAUUAAUUCUAAUCAGUCACUAAUUAAUCCCUCACUUAAAGUUAUUGCACUUACAUUAGCCAACUCAUACUUAAUCAGUUGGAACUUAAAAUAAAAUCUCAUUCCCCGGACUUACGUCUACUAGAUCACGAUGCGCACUACGUAUAAAAAAAUACGAGGCAUAACAUCCUUCCCCCCUUAGGAACAUUCGUCCUCGAAUGUUAAGUUAGCAUCUUGCAAAAAUAAAUUCCUGCGAGGUCUCUCUAACAGUUAUACCUAUCAACCUGCAUUUCGUAAGUUACAGAUGCCUCACAGCUACAUAAUCUCAUUAUCUAUCAAUAUAGUCAAGCUAGGAAUUGAAUUACCUGUAGGUACGGGGAACAAGUAAGGAUACUUAUUCUUCAUUUCAUCUUCCGCUUCCCAAGUCAUCUUCUCCCUAUUGUUAUUUUGCCACAACACUUUGACGAAGGCCAUAUCCUUAGUACGUAACCUUCUAACCUGGCGAUCAAGUAUAGCUACGGGUUUCUCCUCAUAUGACAACUCCUCUGUUACCUGAACAUCAUCUACGGGGAAUACUCUAGAAGGAUCACCGAUACAUUUACGUAGCAUCGAUACAUGGAAGACUGGAUGCACCGCCUCCAAAUCAGAUGGUAGAUCCAACUCAUUUGCAACCUUGCCUAUCCUACGAACAAUCUGAUAAGGCCCAAUGUAUCUCGGACUGAGCUUCCCCUUCCUGCCGAAUGUCAUCACACCCCUCAUGGGUGAUACCUUCAGGAAUACCCAGUCACCAAUCUGAAACUCCAAAUCUCGACGAUGAUUACCUGCAUAUGACUUCUGUCGACUCUGGGCUGCUAUUAAUCUUUCUUGAAUAAGCUUCACCUUUUCAACAGCUUGCUGAAUCACAUCCGGGCCUAUUAACUUAGUCUCGCCAACAUCAAACCAACCAAUAGGUGAUCUGCACUUCUUCCCAUAUAAGGCCUCGUACGGUGCCAUCUAGAUACUAGAAUGGUAGCUAUUAUUAUAGGCAAACUCAAUGAGCGGCAAGUGGUCAUCCCAGCUACCUUUGAAGUCAAUAAUACAGGACCGCAACAUAUCUUCUAAUGUCUGAAUAGUACGCUCAGCCUGCCCAUCAGUCUGAGGGUGAAAUGUUGUGCUAAGGUUCACCUGUGUCCGCAAUCCCUUCUGAAACGAUCUCCAAAAGUUGGUUGUAAAUUGAGCUCCUCUGUCUGAUAUAAUGGACGUGGGAACCCCAUGAAGUCUCACUAUCUCCCUGACAUAUAACCUCGCAUAAUCUUCAGCCGAAUAAGUAGUCCUGACUGGAAGAAAAUGGGCCGAUUUCGUCAGCCUAUCUACAAUAACCCAUAUAGAGUCAUACUUCCGUUGAGUGCGAGGUAAGCCUGUAAUGAAGUCCAUAUUAAUCAUCUCCCAUUUCCAAGUCAGGAUCUCUAUCUCCUGUAACAAUCCACCAGACUUUUGAUGUUCGAUCUUGACUUUUUGACAAUUUGGGCACUGAGCAACAAACUCCACUAUGUCCUUUUUCAUGCCAUCCCAGCAAUAUAAGCAUCUGAGGUUAUGAUACAUUUUUGUUGACCCUGGGUGAAUAGAAUAACGGGCAGAGUGUGCCUCUCCCAUAACCUGCCGUCGUAGCCCCACAGUAUCGGGUACACACAAUCUGCCUUCAUAUAGUAACACUCCGUCAGGUGUAACCUUAAAUGGGGUCUUUUCCUUUUGAAGAGCUGCAUCUCUAUACUGUGCCAGAAUAGGGUCCUUGUAUUGGUGUCUCUUUACCUCAUCUAUGAUUGAGGACUCAGCAACCUCUCGAAUAGAAACUCCACUAUCUUCUGAAUUAGCUAGACGGACUCCAAGGCUGGAUAGCCGCUGAAUCUUCCGAACCAUAUCCCUCCUUUCUAGUUGUACAUCUGUCAAGCUACCCAUGGACUUACGGCUAAGAGCAUCUGCUACAACAUUCGCUUUCCCUGGAUGAUAUAAAAUAUCAACAUCAUAAUCCUUUAGCAACUCUAACCACCGCCUCUGUCGUAAGUUCAGCUCCUUCUGUUUAAAGAUAUAUUGGAGACUCUUAUGAUCUGUAUAGAUGUCCACAUGGACACCAUAUAAAUAAUGUCUCCAUAUCUUCAAGGCAUGAAC